UCUUGAUCCCAUGUUCUUGAUCUUCACUCAACCACAAAGAAGCAUCAUCAUCUGAAACUAUAGUCCCCGAUUCAUCAGAAGACGAGUCGUCAUCUGAAACUGUAGUCUCCGGUUCAUCAGAAGAAACCAGGCAUUUUCUUGCAUUCGGUUUAACCGGGGUUUUAAAACGAGAUACAUGUCCAAUUUUGUUAAAAGAAACCUUCAAUUUUCAAUAAUACCCAUAAGUACCUUAAGGUAGAGCCCAUGU
rnacentral:lncRNA from 1 species